rnacentral:rRNA from 1 species
GACGAACGCUGGCGGCGUGCCUAACACAUGCAAGUCGAGCGGAGAUGUACUGAAGAUUUAUCGGAUGUACAUCUUAGCGGCGGACGGGUGAGUAACGCGUGGGCAACCUGCCUUCCACUGGGGGAUAACACAGGGAAACCUGUGCUAAUACCGCAUGACAUCACAUAGGGCAUCCUGUGUGAUCAAAGGAGUGAUCCGGUGGAAGAUGGGCCCGCGUCCGAUUAGCUAGUUGGUGAGGUAACGGCUCACCAAGGCGACGAUCGGUAGCCGGACUGAGAGGUUGGCCGGCCACAUUGGGACUGAGACACGGCCCAGACUCCUACGGGAGGCAGCAGUGGGGAAUAUUGCGCAAUGGGGGGAACCCUGACGCAGCGACGCCGCGUGAAGGAAGAAGGCCUUCGGUUGUAAACUUCUUGUAUGAGGGACGAAGGAAGUGACGGUACCUCAAAACAAGACCACGGCUAACUACGUGCCAGCAGCCGCGGUAAAAGUC